UAUUUUUGGUAGUCUAUAUAAAUAUUUUUUUAAAUUUUAUGCGUAUUAACGUUUGGUUUAUAUUAAUUUAUGUUUGUUUGAAGGAACUGUAUACGUUUGGCGUCCGUUGGUUUGAACCACAGCCUGCCAAUCAGAACAUUUCUUUUGAGUGCAUAGGAAAUUUUAAAACAUUCCGAAUAAGAAGAACAUUCUAAUCGCCAUUGUCCUCGGAUGUGGCGUGUAAAUAAGUGUGUGUAUCUAGUUAUAGUUAGUUAUUUACAUGUUAAUGUGUGGAAUUUGAGUCACUGUAACUCCAUAAAGUGUCAGAACUAGGUCAAUUUAACACGGAGUUCAAAAUAUCUGCAAAUUCUCAGAAAUGGAAAAGAAGUGUCGGGUACUGCACGGGAGGUGCAACCCUUAAACAGGCAUUGAGAAGACUGAAAAAAAAAUUAUCUAUGUUUAGAGCAGUGUCUUUUCUACUGUAUUGGAAAUGGGAAAGAAGUGGCUGGUACUGCACGGGAGGUGCAACCAUUAAACGGGCAUUGAGAAGACUGAAAAAACAACUUAUCUAUGUUUAGAGCAGUGUCUGUUCUACUUAUGAUAGGUACUAAUGAUGUAUUGAAGGGUAUGAGACUGCAAUACAUAAUGAGGGAUAUUAAUAUGUUACUGCUGGAAUUGAAGAAGAGGAAAUGUAGAAUUGAAAUCAUUAUGUUACCUCCUAUACCCCGCCUGCAGCCAGGAAGUAAUGAAGAGCACAUAAGAAAAUUGUACAACAAUUUUCUGUGCUACAGAGCAGGUAGCGUGUGGAGAUUUCAUCUUAUGUUCAUGAGCGCACAACGUAUAAAAUAUAAAAUCAUAAGAAAUGUUUUCUGGUGGUGUGUAGCAGUUAACCGCAUUUAAGUAAAAAUAUUUUAAAAUGAUUGUUACCAGAGCUGAAUUACAUUGAGGCUUGUGGAGAACAGCUUUUUUUUAAUCUACUCUUUGGCUGGCGAAUGUAAAUAAGCAAUGAUUUCGUGAAUGCAGCGAGAGAGUUUAUUUAAUGUAUUUUAAAAUCACUGAUAAUAUUUAUUGAUGUAUUUUAAAAUCACUGAUAAUAUUUAUUGAUGUAUUUUAAAAUCACUGAUAAUAUUUGUUUUGUGGCUGGAAGAUGGUAACCAUGGUGACUUGUGAAUUUUUAUGAAGAUUAAUAAAAAGCAGUAAAAAUUA